GGGAUUUGUUGUUCUCUUCUCUAUGUUCGCUUUAAUUCUCUGGGGUGCUAGCAGGCCGAUGAAGCCCAAGAUCACUAUGAAGAGCAUUACAUUCGAGCAAUUCAAAAUCCAAGCCGGUUCCGAUUUCACAGGCGUCGCCACUGACAUGGCCUCUGUAAAUUCCACUGUGAAACUCAUUUUUCGGAACACUGGAUCAUUCUUCGGCGUCCACGUCUCUCCAACUCCCGUCGUUUUAACAUAUUCCGAAAUCUCAGUCGCAUCAGGAGCCGUUAAAAAGUUCUAUCAAUCACGGAAGAGUUAUAGAUCUCUCACCAUCAAUGUAAUCGGCACCAGAGUCCCACUGUACGGAAGCGGAGCAAGUCUGAGCAGCUCCACUGGAACUCCGGAAACUCCAGUGCCGUUGAAACUGAGUUUCGUGAUCAGAUCCAGAGCCUACGUUCUGGGCCACUUAGUGAAGCCAAAAUUCUACAGAUACAUCGAUUGCCCCAUAAUUUUCGAUCCCAAGAAACUCAAUGUCCCCAUCUCGCUCAAGAAUUGCACAGUCAGUUGAAAACGAAAUCGAGAAUAUCUUCAACAUUUAUUAAAAUCAGUACUUGUUUUUUUGUUCUUGAGGUGUCUAGGAAUGGCGGACUGCGACAGCUCGAACAGAAACGGGCGACGCCGAACGGG
rnacentral:misc_RNA from 1 species